GCCAUUUAAUCACCUGACCUGUUGCGCAAUGUCACGCGACCUCAGAGUGAUGGAUGCGUUUGAAGUUGAUAGGGGCACGCGCUGGCGGUGUCAACAUUACAGGAUUUUAAUUGACUUUCAGAGAUGAGCUCCAGUAUACAAAGGAACCACCAAAUGCUAUCAAGAACUCAUCAGCCCAGACGUUUUGUCCAUGCCUGCAGCCUAGCCACCCCCUGUUAGAGACCAAUGAAUUCAGAGUCUUCACUUUACUUCUCCACACCACAGAGAUGUGGACUGGACAACCUUGUUAGGUGACAGAGGAUACUACUGCCCUUCAAUCAGACCGCCUGUCAGUGUGCAUGCUGCUGUUUUCCUGAGGCUGUGUACAUUCAAGCUGUCAUAUAAGAGGCAGAAUGCAGAGUGAAGUAUAUGACGGACGCCUGUGGGCAUUCAAUCACAGAGGAUGAGGUUUCCCAGCACAGCCAGCUCAGCAAGGCCCAUGUCAGUCACAUGGCUAAUGACCGUUUCAGUGACGGCUUCCUAUCAACGUAAUAAGAAGCACCUGUUAGCGGCGGAGCCCAAACUUGGAGAAGGGUGUAAUCAACCCCGGGGGACUGAUUGAAUCCUUCCUUCUGACGGUGGAGACGCGCUUCAGCGCAAUGCCGCCUCCACCCAGGGCCACUGGAAAAGGAUCUUCCCGGAUUACUCGAGGACGAGCACGCCGGAUGAGCCUUAUUGCAUGACGACUGUAAACGUGACGUAAGGGAAGCCUGCGGAAAUAUCCGCGGAUGGCUCCUGGUCGAUUAAGGCCAUUGUGUGAUUUCAUGUCUUCCUAAGCACAAUGAGCAAUGAGAUUAAGUUCAAUUUGGACCUGCGCUUGGAUUUCCCCACCUCCGUCAAGGCCCGAGCCCCCACCAUGUCAGCCUGGGCCCACUGGGAAAUCAGUGAUCU